GCAUCAAUGGUUGAAUGGUACAAUGCUUCGUUGCCAUCUAACAGCUCAUCUUCUGAGCUUGUUUCCUGACUCGAAGCGGUCCGCGUUCGAUUCGCGGUUGAUGCA